UGAGUUUGAUUCCUGGCUCAGGACGAACGCUGGCGGCGUGCCUAAUACAUGCAAGUCGAACGAACUCUGGUAUUGAUUGGUGCUUGCAUCAUGAUUUACAUUUGAGUGAGUGGCGAACUGGUGAGUAACACGUGGGAAACCUGCCCAGAAGMGGGGGAUAACACCUGGAAACAGAUGCUAAUACCGCAUAACAACUUGGACCGCAUGGUCCGAGUUUGAAAGAUGGCUUCGGCUAUCACUUUUGGAUGGUCCCGCGGCGUAUUAGCUAGAUGGUGAGGUAACGGCUCACCAUGGCAAUGAUACGUAGCCGACCUGAGAGGGUAAUCGGCCACAUUGGGACUGAGACACGGCCCAAACUCCUACGGGAGGCAGCAGUAGGGAAUCUUCCACAAUGGACGAAAGUCUGAUGGAGCAACGCCGCGUGAGUGAAGAAGGGUUUCGGCUCGUAAAACUCUGUUGUUAAAGAAGAACAUAUCUGAGAGUAACUGUUCAGGUAUUGACGGUAUUUAACCAGAAAGCCACGGCUAACUACGUGCCAGCAGCCGCGGUAAUACGUAGGUGGCAAGCGUUGUCCGGAUUUAUUGGGCGUAAAGCGAGCGCAGGCGGUUUUUUAAGUCUGAUGUGAAAGCCUUCGGCUCAACCGAAGAAGUGCAUCGGAAACUGGGAAACUUGAGUGCAGAAGAGGACAGUGGAACUCCAUGUGUAGCGGUGAAAUGCGUAGAUAUAUGGAAGAACACCAGUGGCGAAGGCGGCUGUCUGGUCUGUAACUGACGCUGAGGCUCGAAAGUAUGGGUAGCAAACAGGAUUAGAUACCCUGGUAGUCCAUACCGUAAACGAUGAAUGCUAAGUGUUGGAGGGUUUCCGCCCUUCAGUGCUGCAGCUAACGC
rnacentral:rRNA from 2 species